UGUCCCCGAGGGUCCCCAGGUGUCCCCGAGGGUCCCCAGGUGUCCCCAAAUGUCCCCAAGGGUCCCCAAGUGUCCCCAAAUGUCCCCAAAGUUGUCCUCAAAGUGUUCCCAGAUGUCCCCGAGGGUCCCCAGGUGUCCCCAAGGGUCUCCAAGGGUCCCCCAGGGUGUCCCCAGUGACCAUCGUGGCCCAGGACUGGCCCAAAGGUGACACCGGGAGUGUCCCCAAAUGUCCCCAGAGGAUCUCCAAAUGUCCCCAGGGGUCUCCAAAGGUGUCUCCAAAUGUCCCCAAAUGUCCCCAAAGUUGUCCUCAAAGGGUCCCCAAAUGUCCCCAAGGGUCCCCAAAGAGUCCCCCAGGGUGUCCCCAAAUGUCCCCAAAGGGUCUCCAAGGGUCCCCAAAUGUCCCCAAAGUUGUCCUUAAAGGGUGCCCAAAUGUCCUCAAGUGUCCCCAAAGUUGUCCCCAAGUGUCCCCAGAGGGUCUCCAAAUGUCCCCAAAUGUCCCCAAAGGGUCUCCAAAUGUCCCCAAAGGGUCCUCAAAAGGUCCCCAAGGGUCCCCAAAUGUCCCCAAGGGUCCCCAGGGUGGCCCCAGUGACCAUCAUGGCCCAGCAACAGCCUGGAGGUGACACUGGGAGGGUCCCCAAAUGUCCCCAAAGGUCCCUGAGGGUCCCCAGAUAUCCCAAACCCCCUCAAUGUCCUGAGUCCCCCAAGGAUCCCAAAAUUCCCGAUUUUCCCAAAAUCCCGGGAAUGCCCCCCAAAAUUCCCCAUUUCAGAGUACGGCCGCUUCGAGGCCAAGAUCCCCCAAAUAUCCCCAAAAAUCCCAAAAACAUCCCCAAACCUCCUAAAUUCCCAAACUCCCCCAAACCCCCUCAAUGUCCUGAGUCCCCCAAGGAUCCCAAAAUUCCCGAUUUUCCCAAAAUCCCGGGAAUUCAGCCCAAAAUUCCCCAUUUCAGAGUACGGCCGCUUCGAGGCCAAGAUCCCCCAAAUAUCCCCAAAAAUCCCAAAAACAUCCCCAAACCUCCUAAAUUCCCAAACUCCCCCAAACCCCCUCAAUGUCCAAAGACCCCCAAAUUCCCCAUUUUCCCAAAAUCCCGGGAAUUCCCCCCAAAUCCCG
rnacentral:lncRNA from 1 species